rnacentral:rRNA from 1 species
GAUGAACGCUGGCGGCGUGCCUAAUACAUGCAAGUCGAGCGAACAGACGAGGAGCUUGCUCCUCUGACGUUAGCGGCGGACGGGUGAGUAACACGUGGAUAACCAACCUAUAAGACUGGGAUAACUUCGGGAAACCGGAGCUAAUACCGGAUAAUAUAUUGAACCGCAUGGUCCAAUAGUGAAAGACGGUUUUGCUGUCACUUAUAGAUGGAUCCGCGCCGCAUUAGCUAGUUGGUAAGGUAACGGCUUAACAAGGCAACGAUGGGUAGCCGACCUGAGAGGGACGUUGGGCACACUAGAACUGAGACACGGUCCAGACUCCUACGGGAGGCCGCAGUAGGGAAUCUUCCGCAAUGCAGGAAAGCCUGACGGAGCAACGCCGCGUGAGUGAUGAAGGUCUUCGGAUCGUAAAGCUCUGUUAUUAGUGAAGAACAAAUGUGUAAGUAGCUAUGCACGUCUUGACGGUACCUAAUCAGAAAGCCACGGCUAACCACGUG